rnacentral:rRNA from 1 species
AACGAACGCUGGCGGCAUGCCUAACACAUGCAAGUCGAACGAUUGCCUUCGGGUGUUAGUGGCGCACGGGUGCGUAACGCGUGGGAAUCUGCCCUUAGGUUCGGAAUAACAGCUGGAAACGGCUGCUAAUACCGGAUGAUAUCGCGAGAUCAAAGAUUUAUCGCCUGAGGAUGAGCCCGCGUUGGAUUAGGUAGUUGGUGGGGUAAAGGCCUACCAAGCCGACGAUCCAUAGCUGGUCUGAGAGGAUGAUCAGCCACACUGGGACUGAGACACGGCCCAGACUCCUACGGGAGGCAGCAGUGGGGAAUAUUGGACAAUGGGCGCAAGCCUGAUCCAGCAAUGCCGCGUGAGUGAUGAAGGCCCUAGGGUUGUAAAGCUCUUUUACCCGGGAAGAUAAUGACUGUACCGGGAGAAUAAGCCCCGGCUAACUCCGUG